rnacentral:rRNA from 1 species
ACGGGGGAUGCGAGCGUUAUCCGGAUUUAUUGGGUUUAAAGGGCGCGUAGGCGGGACGCCAAGUCAGCGGUAAAAGACUGCAGCUAAACUGUAGCACGCCGUUGAAACUGGCGACCUGGAGACGAGACGAGGGAGGCGGAACAAGUGAAGUAGCGGUGAAAUGCUUAGAUAUCACUUGGAACCCCGAUAGCGAAGGCAGCUUCCCAGGCUCGAUCUGACGCUGAUGCGCGAGAGCGUGGGUAGCGAACAG